GAGUCACAAAUAAAUCUAA
rnacentral:snRNA from 1 species